UAUCUGAACCUUCGGGGAACGAUAACGGCGUCGAGCGGCGGACGGGUGAGUAAUGCCUAGGAAAUUGCCCUGAUGUGGGGGAUAACCAUUGGAAACGAUGGCUAAUACCGCAUGAUGCCUACGGGCCAAAGAGGGGGACCUUCGGGCCUCUCGCGUCAGGAUAUGCCUAGGUGGGAUUAGCUAGUUGGUGAGGUAAGGGCUCACCAAGGCGACGAUCCCUAGCUGGUCUGAGAGGAUGAUCAGCCACACUGGAACUGAGACACGGUCCAGACUCCUACGGGAGGCAGCAGUGGGGAAUAUUGCACAAUGGGCGCAAGCCUGAUGCAGCCAUGCCGCGUGUGUGAAGAAGGCCUUCGGGUUGUAAAGCACUUUCAGUCGUGAGGAAGGUAGUGUAGUUAAUAGCUGCAUUAUUUGACGUUAGCGACAGAAGAAGCACCGGCUAACUCCGUGCCAGCAGCCGCGGUAAUACGGAGGGUGCGAGCGUUAAUCGGAAUUACUGGGCGUAAAGCGCAUGCAGGUGGUUUGUUAAGUCAGAUGUGAAAGCCCGGGGCUCAACCUCGGAAUAGCAUUUGAAACUGGCAGACUAGAGUACUGUAGAGGGGGGUAGAAUUUCAGGUGUAGCGGUGAAAUGCGUAGAGAUCUGAAGGAAUACCGGUGGCGAAGGCGGCCCCCUGGACAGAUACUGACACUCAGAUGCGAAAGCGUGGGGAGCAAACAGGAUUAGAUACCCUGGUAGUCCACGCCGUAAACGAUGUCUACUUGGAGGUUGUGGCCUUGAGCCGUGGCUUUCGGAGCUAACGCGUUAAGUAGACCGCCUGGGGAGUACGGUCGCAAGAUUAAAACUCAAAUGAAUUGACGGGGGCCCGCACAAGCGGUGGAGCAUGUGGUUUAAUUCGAUGCAACGCGAAGAACCUUACCUACUCUUGACAUCCAGAGAACUUUCCAGAGAUGGAUUGGUGCCUUCGGGAACUCUGAGACAGGUGCUGCAUGGCUGUCGUCAGCUCGUGUUGUGAAAUGUUGGGUUAAGUCCCGCAACGAGCGCAACCCUUAUCCUUGUUUGCCAGCGAGUAAUGUCGGGAACUCCAGGGAGACUGCCGGUGAUAAACCGGAGGAAGGUGGGGACGACGUCAAGUCAUCAUGGCCCUUACGAGUAGGGCUACACACGUGCUACAAUGGCGCAUACAGAGGGCGGCCAACUUGCGAAAGUGAGCGAAUCCCAAAAAGUGCGUCGUAGUCCGGAUUGGAGUCUGCAACUCGACUCCAUGAAGUCGGAAUCGCUAGUAAUCGUGGAUCAGAAUGCCACGGUGAAUACGUUCCCGGGCCUUGUACACACCGCCCGUCACACCAUGGGAGUGGGCUGCAAA
rnacentral:rRNA from 1 species